rnacentral:rRNA from 2 species
UGUGUGAAGAAGGCCUGCGGGUUGUAAAGCACUUUUAUCGGGAAAGAAAUCCUUGGAGUUAAUACCUUCAAGGCUUGACGGUACCCGAGGAAUAAGCACCGGCUAACUCAGUGCCAGCAGCCGCGGUAAUACUGAGGGUGCAAGCGUUAAUCGGAAUUACUGGGCGUAAAGCGAGUGUAGGCGGCUUCGUAAGUCGGAUGUGAAAGCCCUGGGCUUAACCUGGGAAUGCCAUUCGAUACUGCGCGGCUAGAGUUUGAUAGAGGGAAGUGGAAUUCCAGGUGUAGCGGUGAAAUGCGUAGAUAUCUGGAGGAACAUCAGUGGCGAAGGCGGCUUCCUGGAUCAAAACUGACGCUGAGGCUCGAAAGCGUGGGUAGCAAACAGGAUUAGAUACCCUGGUAGUCCACGCCCUAAACGAUGUCAACUGGACGUUGGCCCCAUUUAAGGGGUUAGUGUCGAAGCUAACGCGUUAAGUUGACC